rnacentral:rRNA from 1 species
UACGGAGGAUGCAAGCGUUAUCCGGAAUGAUUGGGGCGUAAAGCGUCCGCAGGUGGCGAUGUAAGUCUGACUGUUAAAGAGUGAGGCUCAACCUCAUUAAGAGCAGGUGGAAAACUAACAUUAGCUAGAGUACGUUUCGGGGGCAGAGGGGAAUUCCUGGUGUAGCGGUGAAAAUGCGUAGAGAUCAGGAAGAACACCAGUGGGCGAAAGGCGCUCUGCUAGGCCGUAACUGACACUGAGGGACGAAAGCUAGGGGAGCGAAUGGG